AUGAGUGGCAAGAAAGUGCUGUCAUCUAUACAGACAAAAGCUAGUGACUUAGAAACAACAGUAUUUUAUAUGCCUGGAGUUGAUGUAAAUUUGCAUUACAAUUCUAAGAUGCUAAAGACUGAAUCACCUAAUGCUUCUAGAGGAUCUUCCUUGCCAAGAACUCUCUCCAAAGAGUCCAAACUGUAUGCCAAAGGAAAAGGAAGUGGAGGAGUAAAAACAGCCAAGUUAUAUGCCUGGGUAGCACUUCAGUCAUUGCCAGAAGAAAUGGUUAUUAGCCCCUGCCUUUUAGACUUUCUGGAAAAGGCUCUAGAAACUAUCCCAGUUACACCAAUUGAAAGGAAUUAUACAGCUGUUAGCUCACAAGAUGAAGAUAUGGGACAUUUUGACAUACCAGAUCCUAUGGAAGAAUCAACAACAUCAUUAGUAUCUUCUUCAACAUCUGCUUACUCUUCCUUCCCUGUAGAUGUUGUGGUUUAUGUACGAGUUCAGCCCUCACAGAUCAAAUUUAGCUGUUUACCAGUGUCAAGAGUAGAAUGUAUGCUAAAGCUUCCAUCCUUGGGCUUGAUGUUUUCUUCAAACCGAGGAGAACUGGAGACUUUAGGGACAACAUAUCCUGCAGAGACUUUAUCUCCUGAAAGUAAUGCAUCUCAGAGUGGAACAAAGACCUCUGGUAGCCAAACUGGAAUACCAGGCUCAUCAGGAUUAGGCAGCCCUCUUGGCAGAAGCCGGCACAGCAGCAGUCAAUCAGAUCUCACCAGCUCCAGCAGCAGUUCAUCUGGCCUGAGCUUCACUGUGUGCAUGUCUGACUUCUCCCUUUAUAUAUUUCAUCCAUAUGGAGCAGGGAAACAAAAAAACUGCUGUUUCUGGCCUCACACCUGGAUUAGGAGAAUUAGGGAAUGUGGAUGAGGAACCCACUUGAAUGACUGGUUGAAAACACUCUCUCAGUAUAAACCUUGAAUUUGUAAAAAGUGAAUUUGUCUCAGAUAAGGCGUUCAGGAGGUGCUUCAUUUUUUGAAAGUCAGUCUGUAAGCAAGUCUGCAAGCAAAAUGCACACUACAUUGUCCCGGCCCGCGGGUAUUCAGUUUUAUAUUUUUUAAAAUUAAAAUUCUGUUUUCUAGAAUUAAAUAAUGGCCUCUGCCUUAACAGUCUUUAAAUAUGAAGUGUGCUUAAUAUUAUUU
rnacentral:lncRNA from 1 species